rnacentral:rRNA from 1 species
UACGUAGGGACCAAGCGUUGUUCGGAUUUACUGGGCGUAAAGGGCGCGUAGGCGGCAAAUUAAGUCAGCUGUGAAAUCUCCGAGCUUAACUCGGAACUGCCAGCUGAUACUGAUGUGCUAGAGUGCGGAAGGGGCAAUCGGAAUUCUUGGUGUAGCGGUGAAAUGCGUAGAUAUCAAGAGGAACACCUGAGGUGAAGACGGGUUGCUGGGCCGACACUGACGCUGAGUGCGCGAAAGCCAGGGGAGCAAACGGG